CAAGUCGAGGGGCAGCACGAUGUAGCAAUACAUUGGUGGCGACCGGCGGACGGGUGCGUAACACGUAUGCAACUUGCCCUAUACUAGGGAAUAGCCCGAAGAAAUUCGGAUUAAUACCCUAUAACAUCUGGAAAAGCAUUUUUUCAGGUUCAAAGCUGAGGCGGUAUAGGAUGGGCAUGCGGUCGAUUAGCUUGUUGGUGAGGUAACGGCUCACCAAGGCGACGAUCGAUAGGGGGCCUGAGAGGGUGAUCCCCCACACUGGUACUGAGACACGGACCAGACUCCUACGGGAGGCAGCAGUAAGGAAUAUUGGUCAAUGGGCGCAAGCCUGAACCAGCCACGCCGCGUGAAGGAAGACGGCCCUAUGGGUUGUAAACUUCUUUUCUACGGGAAUAAACCUCAGGACGUGUCCUGAGCUGAAGGUAUCGUAGGAAUAAGGAUCGGCUAACUCCGUGCCAGCAGCCGCGGUAAUACGGAGGAUCCAAGCGUUAUCCGGAUUUAUUGGGUUUAAAGGGUGCGUAGGUGGGAUAAUAAGUCAGAGGUGAAAGCUAGCAGCUUAACUGUUAAAUUGCCUUUGAUACUGUUAUUCUUGAGUGUAGUUGGCGUUGGCGGAAUGUGACAUGUAGCGGUGAAAUGCGUAGAUAUGUCACAGAACACCGAUCGCGAAGGCAGCUAACGAAGCUAUCACUGACACUGAUGCACGAAAGCGUGGGGAGCAAACAGGAUUAGAUACCCUGGUAGUCCACGCCGUAAACGAUGAUGACUCGACGUUGGCAAUAUACUGUUCAGCGUCCAAGUGAAAACGUUAAGUCAUCCACCUGGGGAGUA
rnacentral:rRNA from 1 species